CAGGGGGCAGUCAGAGCUCUUUCCAUUUCCCACAAUUGCCUGGCCACCUAGGUCUAAAAUGCAGAGAGAGGACGUGCAGGGGGUGGCUCUGGAGUUACAAAGCUGCCCCUGAAGCCUGCUGGACGGGACACGGGUCGAGGGAAGGACAUUUCUCCAUUCAGACCCUGUGUGAGAAACGCACCACACGGAGGAGAGGUCUUGAGGAAAGGCCCUGUCGCGUUUCACGUGGCACGCCCUGGAUCUCUUGCCGUAACAGUGGCUCAAAAGAAAAUGCACCAGAGUAAUGAUGCUGUGGGCUCUAAGGGUCUCCGCAAAGACGCACCCCCCUCAUAAGCGGAUUCUAGUCUCUGGGUUUCACUGCCAGCCUGCCCCAGAGCAGUGCUUGGCCCAACACCCUGCCAACGGGGUGAGCGGGCUUACAAACCGCUCAUGCGUGAAGGUUACGUAAAAACAAGCCGCCCAGCUCCCCUGCAGGCAGGCGGAUGGACAAACGGCACUGCUGGGACCCUGCUUGGCCAUGGGGGAAGGACACACACAGCCUGGGUGAGUCCCCGAAUCACUGUACCGAGUGGAAGAUGUCAGAGGAAACCACGUACGCACUGCAGGAGGCCAUUAUGCAAAGCUCUAGAAGAUGCAAAUUAACCUACAGUGACUGAAGGCAGAAAGAAAACAAAAAGCAGCCCAAGGCGAAAAAGUCGAUCCUGUGCCCUGAGCACAGGCAGUCCUGAGGUGCGAGCGGUUUCCCACCAGGCUCUUCUUGGCCUUUCGAGAACUUCAGCCCCUCUCUGCUGUUUCCUGUUGCUGGCAUCCACUUUCCCAUCUCACAAUAUUUUCUCCUGUCUGGUCUCCUGUAUCUGAAACCCACUGCUACGGGAUCUCCCCUCUUUCUGGAAAAUGUUCAUUAAACAGGAAACAAACCCACCCUUUAAGCAUCUUCCUUUCUUGCAUGAAGCUGAGUAACUCACCAUCUGCCCUUGCUUCCAGGCAGCUCAGCUAGACUGCCCACAGCCACACUGUCCAGUAUGGAAGCCCUGGCCACAUGUUUACAUUAAUUAAAAUAAAACACAGCCGGGCAUGGUGGCACGAGCCUGUAGUCCCAGCUAUUCGGGAGGCUGAGAUGGGAGGAUUGCUUCGGUCCAGAAGUUUGAGACCAGCCUGGGCAACGUGGCGAGACCUCAUCUCCGAAACAAGGCCCAUGAGCCAGACUGAGGCACAGCUGCAAAGUGACUGAACUGUGUUGUCGCAAUGGUCAAGGUCAAUAAGAGCAGAGAACGAGGGGCCACCGCAGAACACAGGACACAACAAGGACACAGGGACCCCUGAGCCCCUUACACAGCCAGAGAAAGCAGCGUGGGAAGACGCCUGCACUUGGGAAGCUGGGUGAGGAGUGUUAAUUCUGCAACCUUUCUGUACAUAUUUCAAAAUGGUUUUUAAAAACGUAAAAAUGAAACAGAUAUUUCAUUUAGAAAUCUUAAUUUUGGAAGAACUGACUUCUCUCAGCUCUCGGCCCUGUCUGACUGCUGCCAGCGUGGCCCGGGGGCUCCCGCAGCGGAGCGGCAGAGGGGCAGGCUGCGCCCAGCGGCCUCCGGGCCACUUCGGCCUCUGUCCCGUGUUCUCUCUGGCUGGCAGGUACCUCCUUCUCCAUGGUUCCUACAUGUAUUUGCUCCACUUUUUAGGGAGACUGCUGUACUCCUGGUGAGUGGUACAGCUACACCAGGCCAGCUUUCAGAGGCACCUAGGAAAGGCAGCUCUGGCAGCCCCAUCUUGAUAGCUUCAUUUAAAAAACAUUUUUUAAAAAACUGUUCUUAAUAUCAUAACAUGGCAGGAAAAGAAAUCGCAUACUCUGGCCAAGCAGUGGUGGAUUUACUAUUUGUCAUAUGAAAAACAAAAAUAAAAAUUUCUGAUUCAGCAUCUUAAUUCAUUGAUGGAAAAGACUUCCUGCAGAUCGUCUGGCGCAGAGGAGAAAAAAAGAAGGAAAAAUGGCAGACUGAUCAUCUCUGUAGAGCGGGAUUAUGGUGUUUGUUUUCUCCAGCUGAAUCCUACCCAAAUAGUCUAUGAAAUGGAUGACAUUUAUUUAUUUAUUUUUAUCUAUUUAUUUAUUUUGAGACAGAGUCUCACUCUUGUUGCCCAGGCUGG
rnacentral:lncRNA from 10 species